GCAUUUGCUGCUUUUGCUGGUUGCAAUGUGUUUUUUGCAACUUGUGCCGCAGCCCUCUGUGCAUUUAUUGCACCUGCAGCUGCAGGCUCUGGUAUACCUGAAGUAAAAGCCUAUCUGAAUGGUAUCGAUGCUCAUUCCAUUUUGGCUCCAAGUACAUUACUUGUCAAGGAGGUGGUUGACAGCCUGAGAAAUCAAGCAGUUUUGGUAGGAAGAGUUUUUGAUAUGGAAAUCAUAACUCUUCCUGGCAUGGAUUCGCUGCACGAUAUGGUAGAGAUUCAGUCUUGGCUGCACUUGUUCGACAAAAAAUUCCCCAUCCUCUAUGAAGAAGAAGUUCGUGAAUUUUACUACAAUGUUCAAUUUAGGUAAGAUGGGAGCAUCCUCACACGGGUAAAUGAUAUUGCCAUAUCUUUGGAUGAGGAGGUGUUGAGCAAAAUUCUCAUGGUGCCUAAAGAGGGGACCUGGUCUGUGCUAGGCAAAACUUGCUCUUCUGAGUUUGCUUCUGUGAUUUCUAAGACACCCACAACUAAGGUUGCUGGGAUUUAUAAGAAAAUCAUGAAGAGUGAGUAUCAGCUGGUCUUUAAGUUCAUCAACAAGGUGCUCCUUCCUCGCACAGAAAAGAGGACAGUCGCAACUGCUGCUGAUUUGUAUGUGACGGAGAUGUUGUGUAGCUUCGACGCCCUGAACCUCCCUGGUCUAAUGCUUGAACAUAUUCACAAAACCUUCAUUGCGAGGAAAGGUGUUCAUGGAAUGGGUUACGGAUACUUUCUCACGGAGGUAAGUCAAGCAUUUUCAAAUUCCUCUCAGUGUUGGAAAGGUUGGGACAGUUAAACAGACUAUCUCUGAGAGUACCUUGGUUGAGUGCGAAUGCAUUGAAGGAAGAGGCUAUCCAAAGAGCAAGAUGGAUCAACUUAUUGAUGAUCAGGAUCAUCUUAAGCACGAGGUUGAAGAGCUCACUAUGCGGUUAAGUGGUAAAGAGGUAGAAAUUGCUAUACUCAAAGCAGAACUGCUUACUGCACAGAGUGAGGGACCUGGUUCUUCAGUGAUUCAAGCUAUGGAGAAGGAAAAUGCUGAGUUGAAGGCGAAUAUCACUGCCCUGCAAGAAAAGUCCAUCAAAGAUAAUGAUGCUGCCAAUGCACGACUCACUCUUGUUAUCCAGUCCCUGUCUCAUCCUCCCCCCUCUUCCUAGCCUAUUGAACACUUUCUUUUGUGUCAAUUUUUUUUGUGGCUUAUCACUGUAUUGAUGGAUAUUCAGUUUGUUUUUA
rnacentral:misc_RNA from 1 species